GAUUCACUGGGCGUAAAGGGUGCGCAGGUGGGCUGGUAAGUUCGAUGUGAAAGCCCCGGGCUUAACCCGGGAAUGGCAUUGGAUACUACUGGUCUGGAGGAUCGGAGGGGGGACUGGAAUUCUUGGUGUAGCAGUGAAAUGCGUAGAUAUCAAGAGGAACACCAGUGGCGAAGGCGAGUCCCUGGACGAUACCUGACACUGAGGCACGAAGGCCAAGGGAGCAAACAGGAUUAGAUACCCUGGUAGUCUUGGCUGUAAACGGUGCGCAUUUGCUGUAAACGGAAUCGACCCCGUUUGUGGCGAAGCUAACGCGAUAAAUGCGCCGCCUGGGAAGUACGGUCGCAAGAUUAAAACUCAAAGAAAUUGACGGGGGCCUGCACAAGCGGUGGAGUAUGUGGCUUAAUUCGAUGCAACGCGAAGAACCUUACCUGGCCUUGACAUGCAUGUGGUAGAACCAUGAAAGUGGGACGACCCCGCAAGGGGAGCAUGCACAGGUGCUGCAUGGCU
rnacentral:rRNA from 1 species